GACACCCACACAUGGAACUGUUUACUUUCUCCAACCCCAUUGUCAAGCAUCACGAAAAAGCGCUUUGAGCAGCACAGGCGACUGUUCGCUCCUUUUGAGUAUUUUCAAAGAUAGUGUUAAAUAAUGGUUUAAGAGUUUUUCCAUGAAAUAAAUUUGCAACAAAAACAACAUUUUCAAGAUGAUAUAUUUUUCAAUGGCGGCCCGGUGGUCGAGUGGUUAACGCGUCAGCCUUGCUCUCGAAAUGAUUAUCAAACGAGUUGUCGAUGAUUUGAUUCAUUGUUAAAUGGGCUGUCACUUAUACACAGUCGGUACUCAAAGCGCUUUACACCGUUUCGUCAUUUAGUACUUUCUGAUGACGCAGCAUCAGGAGCAACUGAGGCUUGAGUAUCUUGCUCAAGCACACUUUGACAAGAUCGCAACAGCCGGCGAUUGAACACGUCCACUCUACCAUUGAGCCAUAGCGCCUCUAGACAACGUUGCUGUAAUGGUUGGGCGGAGCCUCUUGUGUACACCUUGCAUGCCUUGACAUCGGCUGGGCAAUUAAACUCGGGAGUUUCUGGGAAUAGAUGCCCGGCUAUUAUUCUACUCACCACCAGUUCCCUUGUUCCUGUUUUUCUAGUUGUGUAAUAAUCUGGUCGUUAUCUUCGUGGCUUCUCGGCCGUGUGUAAGUAGUUUAUUUUUGUGUUGUUCCUUGUGCAAUUGUUUCUUCAGCCUGUCCUGGGGGUGUGCUAACUUGUGUCGGUUAACUUGCGUUCUUUUCUGUUUGUUUGUAGUACCCAAGGCUGGAUUGGCCAUCGAGCAUAGCAGGUAGACGCCCCGUGUGCAGCCGUCUUCAGGCGCUGUUACAUUUUUUUUGAUAGUUUUCCCCAAGAGCACAGCCCACACACCAGAGAAAGCAGUUAAGCCAUUGACAAAAUGAACAGUAAAUUGAAUUAAUUAAAACCAUUGGGGGCGGCCCGGUUGUCCAGUGGUUAGCACGUCGACCUCACAGUGCAGAGGUACCGGGUUCAAUUCUAGCUCUGGCCUCCCAGUGUGGAGUUUGCAUGUUCUCCCUGGGCCUGCGUGGGUUUUCUCUGGGUACUCAGGUUUCCUCCCAUAUUCCAAAAACACGCGUGGCAGGUUAAUGGGACACUCUAAAUUGUCUCAAGGUGUGAAUGUGAGCGUAGACGGUUGUUCGUCUCUGUGUGCCCUGCGAUUGGCUGGCACCCGGUUCAGGGUGCCCCCCCCCCCGCCUCCUGCCCGAAGCACACUUUACAGCAAAAAGUGAUAGCAGUGAUCGUUAUCAAAAUGCAUUGCUUUCGACAAAAAGCAAAUAAAGGCCAAAAAAAAGUGUAUUGAAGUUACAUGUGCGGACAUGGGAGGGAAAGGAGGAGGCAGGGUGUUGAAAAGGUUGGAUGGAACCGCAUCCAAACAUGGUCACAUCUGCUUGAAAGAUUUUCCCAAACGUUCACACGUGGACACACGUGCGCACACAAAGGAGAGUCUAUGAGAUGGGGCCAGUCACCAGGACAUCCUGUUUGAGAGUCAUUGCUCACCCGCAACUCACCCUCGCCCUCCACCCACAGUGCUAAAGAGACAGUGCAGCUGUCACCACCUGAAUUAGACGGGAUGACAAGGCCUUGGUUCUCUCAUCUGGCUCUUCAGGAAAGCACUGUUUUAUUCCACUUCCCAGAAGUGCCAGAA